rnacentral:lncRNA from 1 species
AAUGACUACCUGCAGUAAGUCUUUAGGAUGAGAAGGAUAUUGUGACCUAAAGCUUUCUAUAAUUCCAGGAACUCACUAGCUGCAGAAAAGACUUCUCUGAGUGAAGAGAGAAGUACAAAAUGUGAAACAAAGUGUCACAAAUGCCCUCAAACUUUCUAGCGUGGGAAUAGACUAUGUUUGAGAACCUUGAAGAAUUUGAAAUUUGUCUUCGUACAGAGCUCUCAGUAUGCACUUAAGGUGGCUGCUGCAGACCAGAGUGUUCCUGAACUACAGGUGAAGCCAGUGAGUUCAGAGAAGGACCCAAAGAAUGCAGCCACAGGGCUUGGAGGAUAAUUUUAUGAACCAAUUUCCUGAGAUCUCAGCACUCUUCAUGCAUUGUAGUUUCUCUUGAGCUCACCUUUCAGGAG